rnacentral:rRNA from 1 species
CAGUAGGGAAGAAGCGAAAGUGACGGUACCUGCAGAAGAAGCACCGGCUAACUACGUGCCAGCAGCCGCGGUAGUACGUAGGGUGCGAGCGUUAUCCGGAAUUAUUGGGCGUAAAGAGCUCGUAGGCGGUUUGUCGCGUCUGUCGUGAAAGUCCGGGGCUUAACCCCGGAUCUGCGGUGGGUACGGGCAGACUAGAGUGCAGUAGGGGAGACUGGAAUUCCUGGUGUAGCGGUGGAAUACGCAGAUAUCAGGAGGAACACCGAUGGCGAAGGCAGGUCUCUGGGCUGUAACUGACGCUGAGGAGCGAAAGCAUGGGGAGCGAACAGGAUUAGAUACCCUGGUAGUCCAUGCCGUAAACGUUGGGCACUAGGUGUGGGGACCAUUCCACGGUUUCCGCGCCGCAGCUAACGCAUUAAGUGCCCCGCCUGGGGAGUACGGCCGCAAGGCUAAAACUCAAAGGAAUUGACGGGGGCCCGCACAAGCGGCGGAGCAUGCGGAUUAAUUCGAUGCAACGCGAAGAACCUUACCAAGGCUUGACAUGUUCUCGAUCGCCGUAGAGAUACGGUUUCCCCUUUGGGGCGGGUUCACAGGUGGUGCAUGGUUGUCGUCAGCUCGUGUCGUGAGAUGUUGGGUUA